rnacentral:rRNA from 1 species
AACGAACGCUGGCGGCAUGCCUAACACAUGCAAGUCGAACGAUGCCUUCGGGCAUAGUGGCGCACGGGUGCGUAACGCGUGGGAAUCUGCCCUUGGGUUCGGAAUAACUCAGAGAAAUUUGAGCUAAUACCGGAUGAUGACGUAAGUCCAAAGAUUUAUCGCCCAAGGAUGAGCCCGCGUAAGAUUAGCUAGUUGGUGGGGUAAAGGCCUACCAAGGCGACGAUCUUUAGCUGGUCUGAGAGGAUGAUCAGCCACACUGGGACUGAGACACGGCCCAGACUCCUACGGGAGGCAGCAGUGGGGAAUAUUGGACAAUGGGCGAAAGCCUGAUCCAGCAAUGCCGCGUGAGUGAUGAAGGCCUUAGGGUUGUAAAGCUCUUUUACCAGGGAUGAUAAUGACAGUACCUGGAGAAUAAGCUCCGGCUAACUCCGUGCCAGC